GGGGUCGUAGCCUAGCCAGGUAUGGCGACAGGAUCAUCACCCGUGUGUCGCCGGUUCAACUCCGGUCGGCCCCACCA
rnacentral:tRNA from 1 species